rnacentral:rRNA from 1 species
GACGAACGCUGGCGGCGUGCUUAACACAUGCAAGUCGAACGGUAAGGCCCUUCGGGGUACACGAGUGGCGAACGGGUGAGUAACACGUGGGUGAUCUGCCCUGCACUUCGGGAUAAGCCUGGGAAACUGGGUCUAAUACCGGAUAGGACCACUGCCUGCAUGGGUGGUGGUGGAAAGCUUUUGCGGUGCGGGAUGGGCCCGCGGCCUAUCAGCUUGUUGGUGGGGGGAUGGCCUACCAAGGCGACGACGGGUAGCCGGCCUGAGAGGGUGACCGGCCACACUGGGACUGAGAUACGGCCCAGACUCCUACGGGAGGCAGCAGUGGGGAAUAUUGCACAAUGGGCGCAAGCCUGAUGCAGCGACGCCGCGUGAGGGAUGACGGCCUUCGGGUUGUAAACCUCUUUCAGCACCGACGAAGCGCAAGUGACGGUAGGUGCAGAAGAAGGACCGGCCAACUACGUGCCAGCAGCCGCCGCGG